ACCAGUCGUCCAAAUCCUCAACUCUGACUAAUAAGGACACGCCUACCGGGGCCAAAGCCGACGCCCUCCGGGAGGAGAUGGAGGAGGCAGCCAAUCGCAUGGAGAUCUGUAGAGAUCAGCUCUCGGCGGACAUGUAUGGUUUCAUGGCCAAAGAAAUUGACUAUGCAAACUACUUCCAGACGCUGAUCGAGGUUCAGGCCGAGUACCACAAGAAGUCUUUGGAGCUGCUCCAGAACGUUCUGCCACAGAUUAAAGCGCAACAGG